GGAGGGUCUCUGCUCUCAGUACCUGUGCAGAUGCUCAAGCAUUCACUAGAAACUGUAGUCAUAAACUUGCCAUUAGUUAACCAGGAAACACAGCUUUUCUGAUGCUUUUGUGUUUGUUGAGCCUCAAGUUGAAAACUCUGACAUGGGUUACCUUACAGUUACUGUGGAGCUGAAAACAAGAAUUCUAUCAAAGAGGUGGGUCAGCAGGAAACAGCAAUUGUAAGAGAUGGCAACAAGAUAAAACAGCUAAUGGAGGUGAAAAGUGGCAGUCAGUCAGCACUGAGAGGCUCAUAACGGUCAGGUGAGAGACAUGGGGCAUCACUAAGCCUGUCUUUCAGACGUGUGUAAAUGCUUAAUUUCUAACCUGAUAAAUGUUUAGCUAAUCAACAUGCAAUGGUGCUAUUUGCAAAUCUUUUGAGCUAGGGGACUUGCAUCACUGUGAAAUGUGGGCCAAUAAUCAUAGAACUUCCUGGACUCACAAUUUUAUGGUUGCUAGAAUGGAAUACUGUUGAAUCUGAUAUUGGAGUGAUAUGAUUCCUGCCAUGAAUGGCCACCGAAGUUACUUUUCUUGUUAAAUAGGGUUCAGAAUGACCCCUUGAAUUUGUGUUUGUUUUAGUUCACUACCAUACAACAUGGGUUUAUUUAAAUACAUUUUAAAUGUAUACGUUUAAAUCACCCUUUAUGGUAACGUAUGAGAAAGAAAGCAAGAAGAUGGAGUGUAUUUAACGGUCAGGAAGGUCAGUAAUUGUAUUCAGUGAUAUAGCAAUACUAGAGAUUGUAUAUUGAUAAAGAAUUACAGGUUUGUUUUCUACUACUGUCUACUGCUUGGGAUAUCUGUAUGUGAAAAUCUGUGUGUAGAAGGAAGCACCAUCCGCUGUUAGACUAUGGACAGUCCUACAAGCAGGGUGAUCUCAGCUUUUGCUGAGCAAUGCUUCCAUCUACUGGAGAACUCUCUUCUCACAGUAUUUAUUCUGAGACCCAAAGUCUUGAUAGUUAAAACCCCCAUAUAUUUAUUGUUUAUCAAUUAUUCUGAGAACAAAGAUAGUUCCUCUAUUCUAUCAAGUAGCUAACACAAAGUGC
ensembl:lncRNA